ensembl:rRNA 5S_rRNA 5S ribosomal RNA
AGCCACAGCCAUAUCACCCUGCAGCCCAAGACUGGUUACUUACUGAAGCUAAGCAUGGCUGAGCCUGGUCAGUACCUGGAUGGGAGACCACAUGGGAUGUCUAGGUUGCUGUUGAAA